AGCUUUCUCUCUCUCUCCCUCCCCGCCUUUCUCUACCAUCCUGUGUCUCCCUACCCCCCACACUUUCCUCUCUUCUUCCCUCCCUCUCUCUCCCUCCUCUCUGUCUCUCCAGCUUUCUCUCUUUCUCUCUCCCUCCCCGCCUUUCUCUACCAUCCUCUGUGUCUCCGUACCCCCCACACUUUCCUCUCUUCUUUCCUCCCUCUCUCUCCCUCCCUCUCUGUCUCUCCAGCUUUCUCUCUUUCUCUCUCCCUCCCCGCCUUUCUCUACCAUCCUGUGUCUCCCUACCCCCCACACUUUCCUCUCUUCUUCCCUCCCUCUCUCUCCCUCCCUCUCUGUCUCUCCAGCUUUCUCUCUCCCUCCCCGCCUUUCUCUACCAUCCUGUGUCUCCCUACCCCCAACACUUUCCUCUCUUCUUCCCUCCCUCUCUCUCCCUCCCUCUCUGUCUCUCCAGCUUUCUCUCUUUCUCUCUCCCUCCCCGCCUUUCUCUACCAUCCUGUGUGUCUCCCUACCCCCAACACUUUCCUCUCUUCUUCCCUCCCUCUCUCUCCCUCCCUCUCUGUCUCUCCAGCUUUCUUUCUCUCUCCCUCCCCGCCUUUCUCUACCAUCCUGUGUCUCCCUACCCCCCACACUUUCCUCUCUUCUUCCCUCCCUCUCUCUCCCUCCCUCUCUGUCUCUCCAGCUUUCUCUCUUUCUCUCUCCCUCCCCGCCUUUCUCUACCAUCCUGUGUCUCCCUACCCCCCACACUUUCCUCUCUUCUUCCCUCCCUCUCUCUCCCUCCCUCUCUGUCUCUCCAGCUUUCUCUCUUUCUCUCUCCCUCCCCGCCUUUCUCUACCAUCCUGUGUCUCCCUACCCCCCACACUUUCCUCUCUUCUUCCCUCCCUCUCUCCCUCCCUCUCUGUCUCUCCCGCUUUCUCUUUCUCUCUCCCUCCCCGCCUUUCUCUACCAUCCUGUGUCUCCCUACCCCCCACACUUUCCUCUCUUCUUCCCUCCCUCUCUCCCUCCCUCUCUGUCUCUCCAGCUUUCUCUCUUUCUCUCUCCCUCCCCGCCUUUCUCUACCAUCCUGUGUCUCCCUACCCCCCACACUUUCCUCUCUUCUUCCCUCCCUCUCUCCCUCCCUCUCUGUCUCUCCAGCUUUCUCUUUCUCUCUCCCUCCCCGCCUUUCUCUACCAUCCUGUGUCUCCCUACCCCCCACACUUUCCUCUCUUCUUCCCUCCCUCUCUCCCUCCCUCUCUGUCUCUCCAGCUUUCUCUUUCUCUCUCCCUCCCCGCCUUUCUCUACCAUCCUGUGUCUCCCUACCCCCCACACUUUCCUCUCUUCUUCCCUCCCUCUCUCCCUCCCUCUCUGUCUCUCCAGCUUUCUCUCUUUCUCUCUCCCUCCCCGCCUUUCUCUACCAUCCUGUGUCUCCCUACCCCCCACACUUUCCUCUCUUCUUCCCUCCCUCUCUCCCUCCCUCUCUGUCUCUCCAGCUUUCUCUUUCUCUCUCCCUCCCCGCCUUUCUCUACCAUCCUGUGUCUCCCUACCCCCCACUCUUUCCUCUCUUCUUCCCUCCCUCUCUCCCUCCCUCUCUGUCUCUCCAGCUUUCUCUUUCUCUCUCCCUCCCCGCCUUUCUCUACCAUCCUGUGUCUCCCUACCCCCCCCACUUUCCUCUCUUCUUCCCUCCCUCUCUCCCUCCCUCUCUGUCUCUCCAGCUUUCUCUCUUUCUCUCUCCCUCCCCGCCUUUCUCUACCAUCCUGUGUCUCCCUACCCCCCACACUUUCCUCUCUUCUUCCCUCCCUCUCUCCCUCCCUCUCUGUCUCUCCAGCUUUCUCUUUCUCUCUCCCUCCCCGCCUUUCUCUACCAUCCUGUGUCUCCCUACCCCCCACACUUUCCUCUCUUCUUCCCUCCCUCUCUCUCUCUCCUCUACUUUAUCUUCUAGUCCAAACACUGCACAGGCUGCCAGCUAUUAACAUGGAGGGAAUGUUACGCUAA
ensembl:lncRNA